rnacentral:rRNA from 1 species
AACAAACGCUGGCGGCGUGCCUAACACAUGCAAGUCGUACGAGAAAGUCGGCUUCGGCCGAUGAGUACAGUGGCGCACGGGUGAGUAACGCGUGGGUAAUCUGCCCCCCGGUCAGGAAUAACCCGCCGAAAGGCGGGCUAAUACCCGAUAACACUGACGCUCUGCGGAGUGUCUUUCAAAGAAGGCCUCUGUUUACAAGCUUUCGCCGGAGGAUGAGCCCGCGUACCAUUAGCUAGUUGGCAGGGUAAUGGCCUACCAAGGCAACGAUGGUUAGCUGGUCUGAGAGGAUGGCCAGCCACACUGGAACUGAGACACGGUCCAGACUCCUACGGGAGGCAGCAGUGAGGAAUCUUGCGCAAUGGGGAAACCCUGACGCAGCAACGCCGCGUGAGUGAGGAAGGCCUUCGGGUCGUAAAGCUCUGUCAGAUGGAAGAAAUGGGUGGGGCGUAAGUAUCGUCCAUCCUUGACGGUACCAUCAGAGGAAGCACCGGCUAACUCCG